CUAUUGUUAUAUUGUGGAACAUCAUCUUAUGUUGCUAAAUUUGUUGUUGGCUGGCUGUUUUGGUGUAUUAACACCUUGUAUUCUCUUCUUUCUUGUUCUAGAUAGUGAAUCCGAGAGAGGUCCCCAUUUGGUCCACAAUUUGUUGGGAUUUGUGGACUAUUUUGGGGUGUGAUUUCGUGUUCCCUUGUUUGUUCCAUAUCAUU
rnacentral:lncRNA from 1 species